AAGCAGUCUAAGUCCCAUCAUUUGUGUUGACCUUAAAUUAAGGUCAAGUAUGUCAAAAACAAUACAAGAACAAAUAUGUACAAGUAGAGUUGAACUGAAUGCAUGCUAAAUAUUCCAACAGUAGUGAAAACUUUAAAAAAACGCUAAUCUAUUUAUACAUGGAAGGUUACAAUGAAAUAAUUAUGACAAAUUUUUAAAAUCAAUUAUUCAAAAUGCAUACAAAAUACAAGAUUCGAAAAAAGUCUUUUUCAAAAAGCACAGUGUAUGAAUUCAUUUAUUUACAAUGAAUUGAUGUGUAAAAAAAUGAAUACUGCUUGGUUUGAUCUAUGACCUAUCAAAGCAAAAAUGACUUGAAAGCAAUCCAGUGAAGAAAAAUCACUCAAAUAAACCUGUGU